rnacentral:lncRNA from 1 species
UUUUUUUUCACAUAUGCUCUGCUAGGGUUUCUCUUCUCCCCAUUUUGACGCCGUCGUUCAUUCAUCUUCGUGCCAAAGCUCCGAUCGCGGCAGAGACGGCGACGAUUCGGCAACUCCGGCGGAAGGCAAGUUUUUCUUUUUCUUUUUCUUUGUUAUUUUAUACGAAAUAAAACGAAAAUAAAAGAAAUUAAACAUAUGUAAAUAAUAAUAAAAAUACUAUGAAAAACGAAAAGAAAAAAAACCUUUGUAAAACAACUUUGAUAUCUUUAUUUUCUAUCUAUUUCUGUCUCUGUUACACUGAAAUCUUUACCCCAAAUACAAAUUAAAAUCGGCCUUUAAAUAGCCAAGAAAAGAAAAAGAAAUCAAAUCAAAAGAAAUCCCCUCUGUUUUUGUUAGCAAGAUUUUUGCCGUUCUAUUUGUGUUUGUUGCUGUAGGUUCAACGUGCAGGGAAGGCGCGAGAUUCGCGGCGGCGAGGGGCACGAUGUGCUGGAUCGACGGGCAUGACGCGCGGAAGCAGUUGCUGCGGCGCUUGUUAGGGUUUGGAAAUUUUGAUGUUUUUUUGGGCUGGGGUCUGAAAAUUAGUUGUUGGGCCUGUUAAUGGUUUGGGCCCGUUUAUUGGUUUAGGCCCGGGCAUUAUUGGGUUUGUACAAGCUUCAUUCGAUUUUUGAUAAAUUUUCUCUAAUUCUUUUAUAUAAAAAAUUUAUUGAAGUGGUAAAAUUUUAAAAUGAUUAAGUAAAUAAUGGAAAUUGGUUUUCAUAAAUAUUUUUUUAUAAUAUUUAAAUUUCAAAAAUAAAAAUAAAAUAUUUUUCUAUCGUUAAUGUAACAAUAUAAUAAAUAAUAAAAGAGAGAAGGAAGGCUUUGUACAUUUUGCAUAUGUUAGUGUGUACCAGUUCUAAGAGAUGAACGAUCUUUG